UUGUGCCUCAAUCCCCACUUCUCUGCACUGGGAGACCUAGGUUCAAUUCUUCAGAACUGGCAUCAACUUCUCGCUGAAGGUUUGAACUAGUCCAAGAAUGGCCUGCCUGACCAGUUUGAUUGCUCUCGCCUGGCUAAUUAUUUGACAACUCUUUUGAGUAAACACCAUAAGGGUGCUCGGCAGGUGUGAUGCAGAUUGCCGUGUUUCCGCGUCUUCCUGAACUCAGCUGGGUGUUAUUUCUCAUGCUUCUUGUGGUUAAAGUGAAGCCCGUGCGACUGGAUUCCAGGCGAUGGAAUACAGGGAUCUACUCUAGAACACCUCUCCAAGACCAAAGCCACCACAUUGCUGUAAAAGACAAAGGGCCCCAGCACCAAUCCGUCAGCGAUGGCAGAAGAAAGGAAACUCCUUCGCCAUGCUGGAUCUAGCAUAUGAUGUGUGCAGAACUGAUUCGAACAGAUGCUCAUGUGGUGGUAUUGGAAACCUUCGUAGUGCAUCAGCGUUCAGUGUUGACACUUGCAAGAGCUGAGUCAUUCUCUGACAUGCUUUUCUGACCUUCAGUGUUUGCUAAGGAACCUCAGAAGAACACAGCUUUCCAAUCAAAUGUGGUCUUACGGGGUUCUACCUAGAAGUUUUCAAUGCAGCAAAAAACAAACCUGAAAGGAAAGCCUAUGAGUCAUCAAGUACUAUUAAUAAGAGAAGGGGAGGACACCUGUGGUUGACUUCAGCUCGACAGCGCUGGCGUGAAUGGGACUCAUUUCU